ACAGAGGCUACAGUUAAGGAAUUGCGCCCAGUAAAUCCUCCCCGGCCAGGAUACGAACCCAUGACAUAGCGCUCGCGGAACGCCAGGCGAGUGUCUUACCACUACACCAUGGAGACUGUCUUCUUUCCCUCCUGUUCUGACCCGGUGACGUCUGAGGGUUUCCUGGUCGGGACAAGGUUUAGUUUACCCAAAUUUGGAAUGUGGCUCGAGUGGCCUGGGAGUUUCCCCUUUUGAUUUGGGCAAACAGUGUGACAAGCAGGCUCAGAGGCAGCUGAGCCUGCUUGUCACACUGGGGCUUCUGGGUGUUCCUUCAGCCAGCCCCUUCUUCCUUGGAAGCCUUUUCCUUGGACUCUGCCUUUCUAUUCCAGAUGAUGAGUAUCGACACAGGCUUUUCUCAGGUGCCCUCGUCUGCAGCUUAUGGGGCUUUUGGGCAGUCAGGUGUGGGCUCUUAGGUCCUGUUCAACUCGGCAUGAUUCCUGCAGGGUUGUGGGUUGUUAUCAACCCCCUAUCUGAUUUUUAACGUUUGUGUGCGGCUCUCCCCAUGGUUUGGUUCCAUGUGCCUUUGGGCCCUAUCAGGCUUGUUCUUCCAAAGGUUCUUUCCUCUUAGGUACCUCUUUUGGUGGCUUCUGUGGCUCUUUUUCCUGUUCCUCCUGCAGGGGGUCAUUCAUGUGCUACGUAGGGGGAGAUACAUAUGGCUUAACUCUGUGUGCUGGGUUGGCCCAUUGUUCAGCUACCCUGUUUGCCUUUAUUCCCCUGCUCACCACCUCAUUCUCCUUGCCUCUUUCUGCAGUGGUGGUGGUGGUGAGGACUCUCUUUGUUGAUGGCUAUGUUCUGUUAGCUCCUUUUGGUCUUUGUUCCUAGAGGCGGUCAUGUGGUAUUAGGGCUUCCCCUCCUGUAGACAGGAGGGAGGUUGUCUGUGGAGCCAAAUUUUGGUCACUUGAGCUUUCCUUGCCCAGUCCAUCUUGGAUGGAUUUGCAUCGGGAUCGCCCUGCUCAUUUGCUUUGGCUGCUUGUGGGUCUUUUCCUCCAGUUCACACCACCCUUUUGGGGAGAUCUUCCCCUCCUGGAAUUUUGGGUCCUCCUGGCUGGUUUCUUUGCCUCUGUCGGUUCUUCUCAGAUUGGGUGUUGUCUGGCUUGUUUUGCUUGGUUUUCCUCGGUCCAGAACCUGGUCUCUCAGGCCUCCACUUGUACAGUACUUGCCCUUUUGUGAUUGGAUUUGUGUAAAUCCAUUUUUUUUUUCUAUCCACAAAGGACAUUUUAGUUUUCGGUUCCUUGUUCUGGGUUCCCUUUUCCGAGGUUCAUGUUAUUCCAGGGCGGCCUUGGAGAUUUUCUCCCUGGGCUUCUGGGGCAGUUUUGGUUCAUUCACCCUUUGCACUUGGGGUCUGGGGGCAUUGAGUUUUUCUCUUGGGUUUUCCCCUUGACGAAUCUACUCCUCAUGUGUUCACCCACUUGGCUCAGCUUUUCUUGCCUUGUCUCUGGUUGGUCUCUCUCAUCAUCUUGUUGCGUGGGGACCCAGCUGGCCUGUUUGUCUGUUAGCUAGGUUCCUGGUUCUUCCUGACUCACUGGGUUCAUGUUUCUGGGUGCAGGCAAAAGUUCCAGGAGGUUCGGUUCUGGGUACGGACUUGGCUUGGCCUUGUUUGGGACACUCCUGUUAUUGUUCCCUGCCUCCAGCAGCAUACACUCCUGUUAUUGUUCCCUGCCACCAGCAGCAUUGACCCAAAUGUAGUGCCUCUGCUUGUUGGGUUGUCCUAGGUGAUGUGAUGGUUGCUUAGCUGGCUGUGUGACAGCCAUGUCUUUGUCUGUGGCAGUUAUCCUUUGGGCGAGGUGGGGCUUCGGAGGUUGUUUUAGUUCUCUGGGGGCGGCCUUUUCACCUCUGCCAUGACUUUUGGAUGCAGUAUUUGUUCACCCAGUGCUGGCUGCAGCUUUGUCAGUUUUCUCUAUUGGUUUUUCGGGCAUCAGUUUCCUGGUGCCUUCCUCCGUCCUCAUUCGGUGUCAUCCCGAGCGCCUUGCUCUGGGUUCGGGCUUUGUGUCCCGCUAUCUCCGAGCUGCCUUGGGUCAUUUGUUUCCUCCCUUUCUUCUGGCUUUCAGUGUGGUUUGGGUAGUUGUGGCCAUGUGGUGUGCACUACUGUGGGUUUGGUUUCCCCUUAGUUCUGUUUGCAUUGCUCCAGUUCUUUUCAGACUGGUUUCCUUUGGUCCCUACCCCUUGGGGCUGGGCUCUUCACAUUGCUCGAAUGAAGUUUUAGGGUUUAGUUCUUUCUGAGGUUUACAUUCGGGGAGUGCCCACCAUCAUCGCAGUUGGUCUAUCCUGCUUCCAUGGUGUGGGGCAUCAUUUCUGCUUCUUCUGGCCUUGUCAUAUUCGACCUCCUGAAUGUGGAUGCUUCAUGUCAGCGUUGUUUCAGUGCCUUGUACAUAGUGCAGUUCUGCACGUGAGUGAACCUCGCAUUUGGUGCCUUUCAGCUGAACCCCCACCCCUUUAGUUGGGGUGGUGGUUCCUGUUCCUUUCUCCCCAGUCCAGCAUUUACUGUGUCCUGCCAAGUUGGAGUCUUCCCACUAGUGAGUGCUGUUUGUGGCUUCUUGCAGGCUAGCCCAUCCUUCUUGUUUUCGUGCUCUGCCCUUUUUGUGUCUGAACCCAGGUGUUUUCCGGUGGCUCAGCUCCUUCCUGAGGAUCAGUCCAGUGAUUUUUCUCACUGGUUUGGCCUUUUCUGCUCUAUGCUCUGCUGCUUUUCUGCUCUGUGUCUGAUCUUCUUGCACGUGGUUCUCACCAUGCUUAUGGCGUCCUAGUGGCUUCUUUCAAGGUGUGUGGGUGUAUUCAGGGGGUAUCAGGGCCUUCUUCUUUCACUUGCAUUCUUCCUCUUGGUAGUUCUUGUGGUGCUUCACUCACCACUUACUUUCUUUGUUGUUGUUCCUUGGUUUCUGAAGUGGUGGUGCUUUCCUAUCUCUUUUGGCUUUUUCUCAACUGGCAUCUCCUGCUAAGUGCUGUUGUCUUUUCUUGUGUGGCACUGGCAGAGCCCCUGUAGCUUGUGUUUUGGGUUUAUAUUUUCUCAGCUCAGUUCUCGGGUUCUCCCUCACCUUGUUCCACCUCCAACCUGUUCAUGCAUCACUUUUCACUUGUCCCUGUUAGUCUUUGGACCGUGUCCUUGCAUUUCCUUGGUUUCCUGUGUCCCCUCUGGUCCAUAUUUGUUUCUCUGCAUUUUUGUUUGGUUUACCUCGCCUACAGUUGUUGGGUUAGGGAGCUUCAUUCUCUCCUCUGUUGGCAAGGAUGUUGCUCGUUUAGCCCUUCUGGCUGGCUUCAUCUGUAGCCGGCUUUUUUUCUUGUCACAAAUGAUUUGGGUAGCUUUUAUAUAUGGGUCCUAUAUUCUUGUUACUUGGUUGGCUCAGCCUGGGGUGCUUCUUGUUGUGUGUCCUUUUGAGGCUCUCCACCUUUCUACCUCUUGUUCUGCCUUAAUGGGUGCUUUUUGAGUCAUUUCAGUUGCCUUGGUCCCUCGUUCAAGGGUCAUUUGUCUGUUUCUUUGCAGUGUCCUUGGAUCCUACUAGCCUGCAGUCUCACUUCAUGCCCUUGCUGUUAUGAACUGUGCCUCAUUUUCGUCUGUGUUCACUGUGAUGUUCUGGGUUGAUAUUUUGGGGUGGAUGUUUAGGUGGUCGACCAGGGUUCUGGUGGCUCGGUGUCUUGUUCCUGUGCUCGGGCCAUGGUACCCUUGUUUGGCUUUCAGUCGUGUCUCACAGCACAGUGUCUCCUCUUUGUCCUGUUCCUGUGGUGUUUUCUCCUUCUUGAUGAGUAGUAGUUUCCUCCCUCCCACCCAGUGGUUUACUUCUCCGUGGGUAGAUAGCUUCAGGGAGCCACAAGGGGUUUCUCCCAGAAAACCAGCUUUGAAUGUAAUGAAACUCGAAUUUCUGGCUGAGCCCCAGUGGCUCCCUGACACCUUCCCUCCAGGUCAUCGGGGGGUUUUCUCACAUUUACUGACAGUGUUGCUGGCUGAUCAUAAGCUACAUUCCCCUUCCGUCAAACAAGUUGGGGAAAUGGGGGAAAUCAGCUGGAGAUAGUUUCAGAACUUUUCAAUGGUUUGUUUACAUAGCUGUAGGAGUUCUUCUGGCAGUUCUCAAGGCUUCGGACUGUUCUAAAUUCAGCUGGAGUCUUCUGUUUUGCUGACUUACUGCAAAACCUUGUGGUGCCAUUAAAUAAAUAUCACUGCUCUCAGUACCUCUAUGAGGGGACCAAGUUCUGACUUUUGUUUGCCAAGUUUAUAUGGCAGUAGGCCAUAUACGAUGGCUCCACGGCUGAUGCGAUCUAAUAGUUGACACACACUGUGUGAUAGUAGCUUCAGAGAGCCACUGUGGCUCACCCAGAAAUUGGCGUUUUAUUACAUUCAACGCUGUAGUUUUGUUUAUAAAAUAUUGAUUGCAGUAUCGUUUUGCAAAUGAAAACAAAAAAAUAUUAAUAUAGUAGCGGAAAAGAACAAUGGCUGAUGCGCAAUUUUAUACAUUUGUUUUAUAUAUAAAUAUGGUUAUAUGUACAGUGCAUUGUCAUUUUAAUUUACUCACAAGUAUAUAUAUUUGUAUUAUUUAAAAUGUAUAUACAAGAACAUACAAUGGGUUGCACUGCAACAAAUUUUGAUGAUGAAUUGAGUACAUUGCCAAAACCACUAUGAUGUAUAACAUUUCCUGCAAGUCGUAAAGUUACUCAAAAUUUAUAGUGAAUUUUAAGGUACAAUGUGAAGAGUCAAUCUUAAAGAAAUAAAGUUAGUGACCAAGGUAUACACCCAAGGGUACAGAGAAAUAAAGCUAGUGACCAAGGUAUACACCCAAGAGUACAGAGAAAUAAAGCUAGUGACCAAGAUAUACACCCAAGGGUACAGAGAAAUAAAGCUAGUGACCAAGGUAUACACCCAAGAGUACAGAGAAAUAAAGCUAGUGACCAAGGUAUACACCCAAGGGUACAGAGAAAUAAAGCUAGUGACCAAGGUAUACACCCAAGGGUACAGAGAAAUAAAGUUAGUGAUCAACAUAUUCAUCCAAGGGUACAAAUUUUUCUAAAAAGUGUGUGUUUGAAGGUGGGACAAAAUUAUGAAUAGUGACAUUUGUUAUAUCCAAGAGCAAAUAAAAUGAACAACAAAUAAAAUUAAUUACCAAAGUAAAACAGGAAAUUGACAAUUCAACCAACACACAAUGCUAUGAAAUGUUAAGCAACCAUGAAGUUGUAUAGUUUGAGGACAUUAUCAUGGUAAGUGUGAAUGUUUUGUGUGUUGUGUUUACGCUUACACUGACCACUCACCACAACUGAGAGGUGUGUUAAACUUCACGUAAUUAAUUAAAUUGAAAUACUGAGCAUAAUUACUUCCUCCACAGAUGUCACAAUUAUUUCAUUUAUGUGGCUGGUUCUGGGAAUGGCAAACUACCCUAGAUUGACUGACAACGAGCAAGGUAAUCUGACCCAGACUGGCUGAUGCUGGGAUAGUAAAGUACACAGGACUGGCCGACCCUGGGUAAGGUAAAGUACACAGGACUGGCUGACCCUGGGUAAGGUAAAGUACACAGGACUGAUUGACCCUGGGUAAGGUAAAGUACACAGGACUGGCCGACCCUGGGUAAGGUACAGUACACAGGACUGAUUGACCCUGGGUAAGGUAAAGUACACAGGACUGGCUGACCCUGGGUAAGAUAAAGUACACAGGACUGAUUGACCCUGGGUAAGGUAAAGUACACAGGACUGGCUGACCCUGGGUAAGGUAAAGUACACAGGACUGGCUGACCCUGGGUAAGGUAAAGUACACAGGACUGAUUGAUCCUGGGUAAGGUAAAGUACACAGGACUGGCUGACCCUGGGUAAGGUGAAGUACACAGGACUGACUGACCCUGGGUAAGGUAAAGUACACAGGACUGACUGACCCUGGGUAAGGUGAAGUACACAGGACUGACUGACCCUGGGUAAGGUAAAGUACACAGGACUGGCUGACCCUGGGUAAGGUAAAGUACACAGGACUGGCUGACCCUGGGUAAGGUAAAGUACCCAGGACUGGCUGACCCUGGGUAAGGUAAAGUACCCAGGACUGGCUGACCCUGGGUAAGGUAAAGUACACAGGACUGGCUGACCCUGGGUAAAGUACAGUACCCAGGACUGGCUGACCCUGGGUAAGUAAGGUGAAGUAAACAGGACUGACCAGGUGUUGGUGGGUGUGUAGAAGGCUCUGGUCAUUAUGUAGAAACACUACACAUACAGUAUAUAGCCAUAACACUUAUACAGUAUAUUAGUGGAAAAACUUUACAGCCAAUAAUUACUUUAUCAUAAAUUAGAGUUUAUGCAAGAAUUAUAAUUACAUCUGCAGUGUACAUUGUUUGGUCAAGUGGAGUUGUGUAUUGGUACUCAACUAAUUGUCCAGGUUGUGUAUCUGUACUUGUUGCAAGUUUUCUUAACUUUUUAUAUGUACUAAAUUUUUCUGCCACAGCAUGUUAAGGGUGGCUGCAUGAAACAUUACACAGUAGCUGACUGAAAACAGACUUAUCCAUGCCUGCUUAAUGGCAAAAAUUAUAGGUUAUGAUUUCUAUGAUUAAAUCUGAGUGCACUUUUGUUUAGUUUGCAAUUGCAGUAAUGAAACUAUUCAUUUCAAUUUCUAGCAUGACAUGUGUUUUGGCACAUUUAUACAUAUUGAGAUAUACUUCAUGGGUAUUGGCACGUUUAUACAUAUCGAGAUAUACUUCAUGGGCUUUGGCACGUUUAUACAUAUCGAGAUAUACUUCAUGGGCUUUGGCACGUUUAUACAUACUGUAUUGAGAUAUAAGAAUAUAAUAUUGAGAUAAACACUACGUGUACUAGUGGCUGUACAAGAAUGUAACAACUCUUGUGUAUAUCUCAAAAAAAAAAAAAAAAAAUAUAUAUAUAUACUUCAUGGGUUUUGGCAUGUUUAUACAUAUUGAGAUAUACUUCAUGGGUUUUGGCACGUUUAUACAUAUUGAAAUAUACUUCAUGGGUUUUCAAUGCUAUGAGCAUCACUGGGAAGAUAAUUAUGAAGAGAAAAUGCUGAGACUGUAUGUCUUUGGAUAUACUGAGUACAGAAGCUUAGAUGGGAAGAGCUCCAACACAUCCUUUCAUAUAACUCGCUGCGUUUUGUACGCUAUAAUUCCCAGCGGACAAAAUACGAGUUACUCUGAAAAUGGUGGCCUCACAAACAACCUCGUUUCCUAUGCGUAUAUUCGUUAGGUUAGAUAGGUGACUUGGGCUCUCGCAUUUUAGUACCCUGCAUUUUAUCCGUUGUGGUAACUCAAGAGAACUGGUUGAGUGGCCAGUGGUUACUGUGGCAUGUUGAACAAUGUGUUGAUUUUACUUUACAGUAAUAAUAUUGUAGUAUUACAUGUGUAGACUAUGCCAAAGUGUACAGUUUAAUCAUAUAAUGCAGUAUAUUAUCAUCUCAUUUUGCACUUGUAUGGGGGUUGGAAGGGCUGGGUUAAAUAGUCGAGAAAUAUAGUAAAAGAAGAAAAAUUUUUUUUAAAUAAUAAAAUAUUACAACUCUCA